GUAAGGCGAAACUUUUGAGAAAGAGACAGCUUUGGUUUGCAUGACAUGACAUGAAGAAAUCAAGUUUCUUCGGUUCAUGAAAGAAAUCCUCUCAUGGGAAGGGGACGAGGUUUCUGGGCAGCCGUACCUUUUUACCAUUUCCAUGCGUUAGAUAUUUGAAUUCCUCCACCCCAAACCUCUCUUUCUCUCUUUCUCUCU